CUGGCGGUAUGCUUACACAUGCAAGUCGAACGGUCUUUUCGGAGACAGUGGCGGACGGGUGAGUAACGCGUAAGAAUCUACCCCCAGGUCGGGGACAACCACUGGAAACGGUGGCUAAUACCGGAUGUGCCGAGAGGUGAAAGGCUUGCUGCCUGGGGAAGAGCUUGCGUCUGAUUAGCUAGUUGGUAGUGUAAGGGACUACCAAGGCGACGAUCAGUAGCUGGUCUGAGAGGAUGAUCAGCCACACUGGGACUGAGACACGGCCCAGACUCCUACGGGAGGCAGCAGUGGGGAAUUUUCCGCAAUGGGCGAAAGCCUGACGGAGCAAUACCGCGUGAGGGAGGAAGGCUCUUGGGUUGUAAACCUCUUUUCUCAGGGAAGAAAAAAAUGACGGUACCUGAGGAAUAAGCAUCGGCUAACUCCGUGCCAGCAGCCGCGGUAAUACGGAGGAUGCAAGCGUUAUCCGGAAUGAUUGGGCGUAAAGGGUCCGCAGGUGGCAUUGUAAGUCUGCUGUUAAAGAGUCUAGCUCAACUAGAUAAAAGCAGUGGAAACUACAAAGCUAGAGUUUGGUCGGGGCAGAAGGAAUUCCUGGUGUAGCGGUGAAAUGCGUGGAUAUCAGGAAGAACACCAGUGGCGAAGGCGUUCUGCUAGGCCGAGACUGACACUGAGGGACGAAAGCUAGGGGAGCGAAUGGGAUUAGAUACCCCAGUAGUCCUAGCCGUAAACGAUGGAUACUAGGCGUAGCUCGUAUCGACCCGAGCUGUGCCGGAGCUAACGCGU
rnacentral:rRNA from 1 species